CGGAGUAACCAUCUAGCAAUGAUACCCAAUGUCCGGAUAGGCCAAAUGUAUGCUAAGCAACACUCAAGAAACUAUUUGAAUAUAGUUACCGUAUAAUUCAUCCCUUUGAUCUAAAUGCUCAAGGUGACCUAGAGUUUAACUGCCAACUCUGAUAUGGUCAUCUACAUUGUAUUUCAAUUUUUAAAAUCCAUCACAUGGAUUACCUCGGCCA
rnacentral:lncRNA from 1 species